UUACACAGUACUUAAAAAUAAAAACAGUAUUGCAGCUUUAGCUAGGGUUUAGAAAUCCCCAAAUCGCUAUAUACGAACUUCAGAUUUGACUCAUCUUCAUCUUCAUCUUCAUCAUUUCUUCAACAUCCGACUUCCAUAGCUGGAUUUAUCCUUCUCUUCGUGAGUUCUUCAGUAUCAAGAUAGUUGGAUACAUCUUCUUUUCGUUGUAUAAAUCUUUAAUUGGUUGUUGGAUACAUCUUCAUUCGGUUGAAUCAGUUGAAAAUAGUUUGAUACAUCUUCAAUCGGGGUUCAAGUGAAAGACACUUCAGUUUGGUUUGUAUCAAUUCAACCGCUCUUGUUCUACUCAUCUUCUUCUCCAUUCAAUUCGGUUUGAAUCGUUCCCUACAACAGUCUCUUUGUCAAGGAGUGAAACUGAAAGAGUAGAGAACCAGAAAAGAGGAGAUUGGAUCUCUUUGUCUUAAACCUCUCUCCGCAUCAAAAGAUUUAGAAUUUGAGGAAAGUGGCAUUAAUAGAAGACAUUUGUCUUGUGGGGAAAAUACUGAAGGAGGCAAAGAUCAAAGAUACAGGUAUGCUUUAAGUGUCUUGUAUUCUUAUUUAUGCGCAGUUUAAAAAAAUGGAGGUCACUUGAUGAUUCAAUGCAAAUAGUCAUUAAUAAGUAAGAAAAUUAUCUAUCUAAUCAACAUCCUUCCAAUAAAUAAGCUUUUUGUUUGGUCCACAACCU